CCUACGGGAGGCAGCAGUGGGGAAUAUUGCACAAUGGGCGAAACCCUGAUGCAGCAACGCCGCGUGAGUGAAGAAGUAUUUCGGUAUGUAAAGCUCUAUCAGCAGGGAAGAAGAUGACGGUACCUGAAUAAGAAGCCCCGACUAACUACGUGCCAGCAGCCGCGGUAAUACGUAGGGGGCAAGCGUUAUCCGGAUUUACUGGGUGAAAAGGGAGCGUAGGCGGAUUUUUAAGUCAGCGGUAAAAUGUCCGGGCUCAACCCGGGCCGGCCGUUGAAACUGGGGAUCUUGAGUGGGCGAGAAGUAGGCGGAAUGCGUGGUGUAGCGGUGAAAUGCAUAGAUAUUACGCAGAACUCCGAUUGCGAAGGCAGCAUACCGGCGCCCGACUGACGCUGAGGCACGAAAGCGUGGGGAUCGAACAGGAUUAGAUACCCUGGUAGUC
rnacentral:rRNA from 1 species